GAUGAAGAACGUAGCGAAAUGCGAUAAGUAAUGUGAAUUGCAGAAUUCAGUGAAUCAUCGAAUCUUUGAACGCACAUUGCGCCCGCCAGCAUUCUGGCGGGCAUGCCUGUUCGAGCGUCAUUUCAACCCUCGACUUCCCUUUGGGGAAAUCGGCGUUGGGGACCGGCCGUAUACCGCCGGCCCCGAAAUGAAGUGGCGGCCCGUCCGCGGCGACCUCUGCGUAGUAAUCCAACUCGCACCGGAACCCCGACGUGGCCACGCCGUAAAACCCCCGACUUCUGAACGUUGACCUCGGAUCAGGUAGGAAUACCCGCUGAACUUAAGCAUAUCAAUAAGCGGAGGA
rnacentral:misc_RNA from 1 species